AGUGAACGCUGGCGGUAGGCCUAACACAUGCAAGUCGAACGGCAGCACAGUAAGAGCUUGCUCUUACGGGUGGCGAGUGGCGGACGGGUGAGGAAUACAUCGGAAUCUACUUUUUCGUGGGGGAUAACGUAGGGAAACUUACGCUAAUACCGCAUACGACCUACGGGUGAAAGCAGGGGAUCUUCGGACCUUGCGCGAUUGAAUGAGCCGAUGUCGGAUUAGCUAGUUGGCGGGGUAAAGGCCCACCAAGGCGACGAUCCGUAGCUGGUCUGAGAGGAUGAUCAGGCAAAAUUGAACUGAGACACGGUCCAGACUCCUAAGGGAGGCAGCAGGGGGGAAUAUUGGACAAUGGGCGGAAGCCUGAUCCAGCCAUACCGCGUGGGUGAAGAAGGCCUUCGGGUUGUAAAGCCCUUUUGUCGGGAAAGAAAAGCAGCAGGUUAAUACCCCGCUGUUCUGACGGUACCCAAAGAAUAAGCACCGGCUAACUUCGUG
rnacentral:rRNA from 1 species